GGCGGCGUGCUUAACACAUGCAAGUCGAGCGGAAAGGCCCUUCGGGGUACUCGAGCGGCGAACGGGUGAGUAACACGUGAGUAACCUGCCCCUGACUCUGGGAUAAGCCCGGGAAACUGGGUCUAAUACCGGAUAUGACACGCUUCCGCAUGGAAUGCGUGUGGAAAGUCUUUUCGUUUGGGGAUGGACUCGCGGCCUAUCAGCUUGUUGGUGGGGUAACGGCCUACCAAGGCGACGACGGGUAGCCGGCCUGAGAGGGCGACCGGCCACACUGGGACUGAGACACGGCCCAGACUCCUACGGGAGGCAGCAGUGGGGAAUAUUGCGCAAUGGGCGGAAGCCUGACGCAGCGACGCCGCGUGGGGGAUGACGGCCUUCGGGUUGUAAACCUCUUUCAGCAGGGACGAAGUUGACGUGUACCUGCAGAAGAAGCGCCGGCUAACUACGUGCCAGCAGCCGCGGUAAUACGUAGGGCGCAAGCGUUGUCCGGAAUUAUUGGGCGUAAAGAGCUCGUAGGUGGCUUGUCGCGUCGGAUGUGAAAGCUUGGGGCUUAACUCCAGGUCUGCAUUCGAUACGGGCUGGCUAGAGGUAGGCAGGGGAGAACGGAAUUCCUGGUGUAGCGGUGAAAUGCGCAGAUAUCAGGAGGAACACCGGUGGCGAAGGCGGUUCUCUGGGCCUUACCUGACGCUGAGGAGCGAAAGCGUGGGGAGCGAACAGGAUUAGAUACCCUGGUAGUCCACGCCGUAAACGUUGGGCGCUAGGUGUGGGGGACCUUCCACGGUUUCCGCGCCGUAGCUAACGCAUUAAGCGCCCCGCCUGGGGAGUACGGCCGC
rnacentral:rRNA from 1 species